UGCAAGAUCCGCUCGUGCUCCGGGACGGUGCCCAGACCCUCGCCAUUCUCCGCCAUCUUGGCUGGAAGCUGAGGAGCCGGUUCCAGGGAUGAGGAUGUGAACCUUUUGGGGAGCCAUUAUUUUGCCUGCCACAUACAAUAAGUGCCCUAUAAACAUUACCAUCAUACAUAAAUGCUCUCUUUUCCAUUAAUCUGAAAUUUCUGUCCUUCCCGAAAAACAACUCAAAUGUAUCUCCUUCAUAAAGAUUCCCCCAUCUAAUCACAACCUUCUCUGCUAACUCUAGAUUCAAUUUAGCACACACUUGUCCACUCCACUACCAACUGUUUUACUAGUGUGCACUUGUUUUGAGUAGUUCCUUUUCAUACAUCUGUGAGUUUUGUUUGUUUUUGUACACUUGGUCCCCAAGGAAUCAACAUGUGACUGAUCUGAGUACACACUGGCUUAGAAGAUCAAGGAAGCUCUGCUACAUCCAACUGCCCAUUCUGCCAAGAAACCCCAUCAGAAGCCUAUUUCCACUGUCUCAAUGGUACAGAAGAAUCCAGAUCUUCUCUGGGAAAUCACACUUUCUCAAGAUGUAAAAAUAUGCCAAAGGAAAAAAAAGUCUUCCUGAGGCCACCAGCACUGUCACACUAUGUUAAAGACCUGACGUUCAGAGAUGACUUUUUUUUUUUUUAAUUUUGCAAUUUUGUAUAGUUCCCCCUUGGAGUUCUGCAUGUGGCUGAGAGAAAGGGGUUUUGAAACCAGACAAUGCUGAAGAUCAGAAGCCACUGGAAAGAAUUCAGGAUGAGUUAGAAAGGAGCAUUACAAACAGUUCUGAGCAUAAGGCAAGAAUUUGAUUAAUCUGUGAUUGGUAACAAUUUGGAAUUAGAAUAAUAGCAAAUCGUAAAAAGUUUUUUCAAACAUACUGUUUAUAUACUGGCAUUAAAUACAGCAUUUUAUAUAGUUGUA